rnacentral:rRNA from 1 species
UACAGAGGGGGCAAGCGUUGUUCGGAAUUACUGGGCGUAAAGGGCGCGUAGGCGGCCUUCUAAGUCGAACGUGAAAUCCCUGGGCUUAACCCAGGAACUGCGUCCGAUACUGGAAGGCUUGAAUCCGGGAGAGGGAUGCGGAAUUCCAGGUGUAGCGGUGAAAUGCGUAGAUAUCUGGAGGAACACCGGUGGCGAAGGCGGCGUCCUGGGCCGACAUUGACGCUGAGGCGCGAAAGCCUGGGGAGCAAACAGG